CAAGUCGAGCGGAUGACGGGAGCUUGCUCCUUGAUUCAGCGGCGGACGGGUGAGUAAUGCCUAGGAAUCUGCCUGGUAGUGGGGGACAACGUUUCGAAAGGAACGCUAAUACCGCAUACGUCCUACGGGAGAAAGCAGGGGACCUUCGGGCCUUGCGCUAUCAGAUGAGCCUAGGUCGGAUUAGCUAGUUGGUGGGGUAAUGGCUCACCAAGGCGACGAUCCGUAACUGGUCUGAGAGGAUGAUCAGUCACACUGGAACUGAGACACGGUCCAGACUCCUACGGGAGGCAGCAGUGGGGAAUAUUGGACAAUGGGCGAAAGCCUGAUCCAGCCAUGCCGCGUGUGUGAAGAAGGUCUUCGGAUUGUAAAGCACUUUAAGUUGGGAGGAAGGGCAGUAAGCUAAUACCUUGCUGUUUUGACGUUACCGACAGAAUAAGCACCGGCUAACUCUGUGCCAGCAGCCGCGGUAAUACAGAGGGUGCAAGCGUUAAUCGGAAUUACUGGGCGUAAAGCGCGCGUAGGUGGUUUGUUAAGUUGGAUGUGAAAGCCCCGGGCUCAACCUGGGAACUGCAUCCAAAACUGGCAAGCUAGAGUACGGUAGAGGGUGGUGGAAUUUCCUGUGUAGCGGUGAAUGCGUAGAUAUAGGAAGGAACACCAGUGGCGAAGGCGACCACCUGGACUGAUACUGACACUGAGGUGC
rnacentral:rRNA from 1 species